UACGUAGGGGGCAAGCGUUGUCCGGAUUUAUUGGGCGUAAAGAGCGUGUAGGCGGCCAUUCAGGUCAGCUGUGAAAACUCGAGGCUCAACCCUCGAGACGUCGGUUGAAAACCAUCUGGCUGGAGUCCGGAAGAGGAGUGUGGGAAUUCCCCGGUGUAGCGGUGAAAAUGCGCAGAUAUCGGGAAGAACACCCGUGGCGAAGGCGGCACUCUGGGACGGUACUGACGCUGAGACGCGAAAAGCGUGGGGAGCGAACAGG
rnacentral:rRNA from 1 species